rnacentral:tRNA from 1 species
GAGGAUAUAGCUCAGUGGUAGAGCAGUGCUGAGUAUGCACGAGGUCCUGGAUUCAAUUUCCAGUACCACCA